UACGGAGGGUGCAAGCGUUAUCCGGAUUCACGGGGUUUAAAGGGUGUGUAGGCGGGUAGUUAAGGCAGUGGUGAAAUCUCCAGGCUCAACCUGGAAACUGCCAUUGAUACUAUUUAUCUUGAAUAUUGUUGAGGUAGGCGGAAUAUAUCAUGUAGCGGUGAAAUGCUUAGAUAUGAUAUAGAACACCGAUUGCGAAGGCAGCUUACUAAACAAUCAUUGACGCUGAGGCACGAAAGCGUGGGGAUCAAACAGG
rnacentral:rRNA from 1 species